rnacentral:rRNA from 1 species
AUGGUGAGAGUGGCGCACGGGUGCGUAACGCGUGAGCAACCUACCUCUAUCAGGGGGAUAGCCUCUCGAAAGAGAGAUUAACACCGCAUAAUAUAAUGUACCGGCAUCGGGANAUUAUUAAAUAUUUAUAGGAUAGAGAUGGGCUCGCGUGACAUUAGCUAGUUGGUAGGGUAACGGCUUACCAAGGCGACGAUGUCUAGGGGCUCUGAGAGGAGAAUCCCCCACACUGGUACUGAGACACGGACCAGACUCCUACGGGAGGCAGCAGUAAGGAAUAUUGGUCAAUGGGCGGAAGCCUGAACCAGCCAUGCCGCGUGCAGGAUGACUGCCCUAUGGGUUGUAAACUGCUUUUGUCCAGGAAUAAACCUAGAUACGUGUAUUUAGCUGAAUGUACUGGAAGAAUAAGGAUCGGCUAACUCCGUGCCAGCAGCCGCGGUAAUACGGAGGAUCCGAGCGUUAUCCGGAUUUAUUGGGUUUAAAGGGUGCGUAGGCGGCCUAUUAAGUCAGGGGUGAAAUACGGUGGCUCAACCAUCGCAGUGCCUUUGAUACUGAUGGGCUUGAAUCCAUUUGAAGUGGGCGGAAUAAGACAAGUAGCGGUGAAAUGCAUAGAUAUGUCUUAAAACUCCGAUUGCGAAGGCAGCUCACUAAGCUUGGUAUUGACGCUGAUGCACCAAAGCGUGGGGAUCGAACAAGGAUUAGAUACCCUGGUAGUCCACGCCCUAAACGAUGAUACUCGAUGUUGGCGAUAGACA